rnacentral:ribozyme from 1 species
UGCCCAGCAACUCCUAUCCCUACCACCUCGUGGUACUGGCCGGGGUACGAGUAACCUUAGGCAGAUCGGGUAACCAACACCGGUGGG